rnacentral:sRNA from 1 species
AUCGAAAGCAAUAUAUUUACAGAGGACGUACUCGAGAAACCAAAGCUUUCUUACUUGGAGACAAAACUUGCUGAAACAAGGACUGAAGAGAAAAAAUCUUUUAUAAGAUGAAAUUCUCCCUUAUAAAU